GAACUGCUGUGUACGCCUGUGAACAAAAAACGGCUGACUCUUAAUCAGUAGGUCCUCGGUUCGACCCCGAGGCGGGUCA
rnacentral:tRNA from 1 species